GUAAAAUUCAGGGCACACUCAGACGUUCACUAAAUUCAGAGUUUAGGGCCUCUGGCAGACGCCUAGGCGCACCGCACACAGCAGAUGCCGCCUGCCAAGGCAACUAGGGUAGGUUCACAGUGGGUUUAGAGUUCAACUCUGUAAUGAUCCCUCCGCUGGUUCACCAACGGAGA
rnacentral:misc_RNA from 1 species